rnacentral:rRNA from 1 species
UACGGAGGGUGCGAGCGUUGUUCGGAAUUACUGGGCGUAAAGGGCGCGUAGGCGGUUUGCUAAGUCAGAUGUGAAAGUCCACGGCUCAACCGUGGAAGUGCAUUUGAAACUGGCAGACUUGAGUACUGGAGGGGGUGGUGGAAUUCCCGGUGUAGAGGUGAAAUUCGUAGAUAUCGGGAGGAAUACCGGUGGCGAAGGCGACCACCUGGCCAGAUACUGACGCUGAGGUGCGAAAGCGUGGGUAUCAAACAGG